rnacentral:rRNA from 1 species
AUUGAACGCUGGCGGCAGGCCUAACACAUGCAAGUCGAGCGAGCGGCGGACGGGUGAGUAAUGUAUGGGAAUCUGCCCGAUGGAGGGGGAUAACUACUGGAAACGGUGGCUAAUACCGCAUACUAUCGGAUGAACCCAGAUGGGAUUAGCUAGUAGGUGGGGUAAUGGCUCACCUAGGCGACGAUCCCUAGCUGGUCUGAGAGGAUGACCAGCCACACUGGGACUGAGACACGGCCCAGACUCCUACGGGAGGCAGCAGUGGGGAAUAUUGCACAAUGGGCGCAAGCCUGAUGCAGCCAUGCCGCGUGUAUGAAGAAGGCCUUAGGGUUGUAAAGUACUUUCAGCGAGGAGGCGUUACCCGCAGAAGAAGCACCGGCUAACUCCGUGCCAGCAGCCGCGGUAAUUC